UACGGAGGGUGCAAGCGUUAUCCGGAUUUACUGGGUUUAAAGGGCGCGUAGGCGGCCACCGCAAGUCGAUUGUGAAAUCUCCGGGCUUAACCCGGAAAGGUCAACCGAUACUGCGGGGCUAGAGUGCAGAAGGGGCAACUGGAAUUCUCGGUGUAGCGGUGAAAUGCGUAGAUAUCGAGAGGAACACCUGCGGCGAAGGCGGGUUGCUGGGCUGACACUGACGCUGAAGUGCGAAAGCUAGGGGAGCGAACGGG
rnacentral:rRNA from 1 species